rnacentral:rRNA from 1 species
CAGCAGCCGCGGGAAUACGAAGGGGGCUAGCGUUGUUCGGAAUUACUGGGCGUAAAGGGCGCGUAGGCGGCCAUUCAAGUUAGAUGUGAAAGCCCUGGGCUCAACCUAGGAAUUGCAUUUGAUACUGUUUGGCUUGAGUUCGGGAGAGGUGAGUGGAAUUCCCAGUGUAGAGGUGAAAUUCGUAGAUAUUGGGAAGAACACCAGUGGCGAAGGCGGCUCACUGGACCGACACUGACGCUAAGGCGCGAAAGCGUGGGGAGCAAACAGGAUUAGAUACCCCCGUAGUCCCUGUCUCUUAUAC